UAAGACAUUAGUAAACCGUAAAUUACAUCACCUUGUCAAGGUGAAAUCGUGGGUUAAACUCCCGCAUGUCUUAA
rnacentral:tRNA from 1 species